GUGGGGAAUUUUGCGCAAUGGGGGAAACCCUGACGCAGCGACGCCGCGUGGGUGAUGAAGGCCUUCGGGUCGUAAAGCCCUGUCGAGCGGGACGAAACGUGCGGGCUCUAACAUAGCUCGUGCUUGACGGUACCGCUGGAGGAAGCCCCGGCUAACUCCGUGCCAGCAGCCGCGGUAAUACGGGGGGGGCGAGCGUUAUUCGGAAUUAUUGGGCGUAAAGGGCGUGUAGGCGGCCCAGCAUGUCCUCUGUGAAAGCCCUCGGCUCAACCGAGGAACUGCAGGGGAAACUGCGGGGCUUGAGUCCGGGAGAGGAGAGCGGAAUUCCCAGUGUAGCGGUGAAAUGCGUAGAUAUUGGGAGGAACACCAGUGGCGAAGGCGGCUCUCUGGACCGGUACUGACGCUAAAGCGCGAAAGCUAGGGGAGCAAACGGGAUUAGAUACCCCAGUAGUCC
rnacentral:rRNA from 1 species